rnacentral:rRNA from 1 species
UACGGAGGGGGCAAGCGUUGUUCGGAAUUACUGGGCGUAAAGGGCGCGUAGGCGGUGCUCUAAGUCGGAUGUGAAAACUCUGGGCUCAACCCAGAGCCUGCAUCCGAAACUGGAGUGCUAGAGUUCUGGAGGGGGUAGCGGAAUUCCUGGUGUAGCGGUGAAAUGCGUAGAUAUCAGGAGGAACACCGGUGGCGAAGGCGGCUACCUGGACAGAAACUGACGCUGAGGCGCGAAAGCUAGGGGAGCAAACAGG